rnacentral:rRNA from 1 species
UACGGAGGGUGCGAGCGUUGUCCGGAAUCACUGGGCGUAAAGGGCGCGUAGGCGGCGCGGGCAGUCAACGGUGAAAGCUCGGGGCUCAACUCCGAGUCGGCCGUCGAUACUCCCGUGCUCGAGCACUGUAGAGGCAGGUGGAAUUCCGGGUGUAGCGGUGGAAUGCGUAGAGAUGUGGAGGAACACCAGUGGCGAAGGCGACUCUUUGGCCUGUAACUGACGCUGAGGCGCGAAAGCGUGGGGAGCAAACAGG